rnacentral:rRNA from 1 species
AUUGAACGCUAGCGGCAUGCUUUACACAUGCAAGUCGAACGGAGUGGCGGACGGGUGAGUAAUAUAUGGGAACGUGCCCAGUGGAGGGGGAUAACUACUGGAAAGAGUGGCUAAUACCGCAUACUCUCGGAGCGGCCGAUCUCGGCUUAGAUCGUUGGUGGGGUAAAGGAUCACCAAGGCCACGAUCCGUAGAUGGUCUGAUAGGAAGACCAGCCACACUGGAACUGGGACACGGCCCAGACUCCUACGGGAGGCAGCAGUGGGGAAUUUUGGACAAUGGGGGAAACCCUGACGCAGCCAGCCCGCGUGUAUGAUGAAGGCCUUCGGGUUGUAAAGUACGUUUUGCAAAGAAGCGGUAUCUGCAGAAUAAGCACCGGCUAACUACGUGCCAGCAGCCGCGGUAAUAC